UGGCUCAGAGUGAACGCUGGCGGCAGGCCUAAUACAUGCAAGUCGAACGGCAGCACAGCAGAGCUUGCUCUGUGGGUGGCGAGUGGCGGACGGGUGAGGAAUACGUGGGAAUCUGCCCAGUCGUGGGGGAUAACGUAGGGAAACUUACGCUAAUACCGCAUGCGCCCUUCGGGGGAAAGCCGGGGACCUUCGGGCCUGGCGCGAUUGGAUGAGCCCACGUCGGAUUAGCUAGUUGGCGGGUAAAGGCCCACCAAGGCGACGAUCCGUAGCUGGGUCUGAGAGGAUGAUCAGCCACACUGGAACUGAGACACGGUCCAGACUCCUACGGGAGGCAGCAGUAGGGAAUAUUGGACAAUGGGCGCAAGCCUGAUCCAGCCAUGCCGCGUGAGUGAAGAAGGCCCUCGGGUUGUAAAGCUCUUUUGUCCGGAAAGAAAAGCGCCGGGUUAAUACCCUGGUGUCCUGACGGUACCGGAAGAAUAAGCACCGGCUAACUUCGUG
rnacentral:rRNA from 1 species